AACAGGCCUUCGCCUGCUGAUGUUCUUGGUCCCGGUGCUUCUGAUCCUUCGAUCACAGGUUGGACUGAUGCCUUGCGCGAGGUUCAUUCCUUGGUCGGAGAUCGUUUUCGUCAGAAGCUCCGCGGCAUGGACUUUGACACGCUCCUUCGC